AACGCGAAGAACCUUACCAACCCUUGACAUCCCAGGACCGGCCCAGAGAUGGGUCUUCCACUUCGGUGGCCUGGAGACAGGUGCUGCAUGGCUGUCGUCAGCUCGUGUCGUGAGAUGUUCGGUUAAGUCCGGCAACGAGCGCAACCCACGUCCCCAGUUGCCAGCAUUCAGUUGGGCACUCUGUGGAAACUGCCGGUGAUAAGCCGGAGGAAGGUGUGGAUGACGUCAAGUCCUCAUGGCCCUUACGGGUUGGGCUACACACGUGCUACAAUGGUGGUGACAGUGGGUUAAUCCCCAAAAGCCAUCUCAGUUCGGAUUGUCCUCUGCAACUCGAGGGCAUGAAGUUGGAAUCGCUAGUAAUCGCGGAACAGCAUGCCGCGGUGAAUACGUUCCCGGGUCUUGUACACACCG
rnacentral:rRNA from 1 species